rnacentral:rRNA from 1 species
UACGAAGGGGGCUAGCGUUGUUCGGAAUCACUGGGCGUAAAGGGCGCGUAGGCGGCUUUGUAAGUCGGGGGUGAAAGCCUGUGGCUCAACCAUAGAAUUGCCUUCGAUACUGCAUGGCUUGAGACCGGAAGAGGUAAGUGGAACUGCGAGUGUAGAGGUGAAAUUCGUAGAUAUUCGCAAGAACACCAGUGGCGAAGGCGGCUUACUGGACCGGUUCUGACGCUGAGGCGCGAAAGCGUGGGGAGCAAACAGG